ensembl:snRNA U6 U6 spliceosomal RNA
GUACUCACUUCAGAAGCACGUAUGCUAAAAUUGGAAUACAGAGAUAGCAUGACCUCUGUGCAAGGAUGACAUGAAUUCGUGAAGCAUUCCGCAUUUUU